CCUACGGGAGGCAGCAGUGAGGAAUAUUGGUCAAUGGACGAGAGUCUGAACCAGCCAAGUAGCGUGAAGGAUGACUGCCCUAUGGGUUGUAAACUUCUUUUAUAUGGGAAUAAAAUGUUCCACGUGUGGGAUUUUGUAUGUACCAUAUGAAUAAGGAUCGGCUAACUCCGUGCCAGCAGCCGCGGUAAUACGGAGGAUCCGAGCGUUAUCCGGAUUUAUUGGGUUUAAAGGGAGCGUAGGUGGAUUGUUAAGUGAGUUGUGAAAGUUUGUGGCUCAACCGUAAAAUUGCAGUUGAAACUGGCAGUCUUGAGUACAGUAGAGGUGGGCGGAAUUCGUGGUGUAGCGGUGAAAUGCUUAGAUAUCACGAAGAACCCCGAUUGCGAAGGCAGUUCACUGGACUGCAACUGACGCUGAGGCUCGAAAGUGUGGGUAUCAAACAGGAUUAGAUACCCGAGUAGUC
rnacentral:rRNA from 1 species